rnacentral:rRNA from 1 species
AUGGCUCAGAGCGAACGCUGGCGGCAGGCUUAACACAUGCAAGUCGAGCGCUCGUAGCAAUACGAGAGCGGCAGACGGGAGAGUAACACGUGGGAACGUACCCUUCGGUUCGGAAUAACCCAGGGAAACUUGGGCUAAUACCGGAUACGUCCGUAAGGAGAAAGAUUCAUCGCCGAGGGAUCGGCCCGCGUCCGAUUAGCUAGUUGGUGGGGUAACGGCUCACCAAGGCGACGAUCGGUAGCUGGUCUGAGAGGAUGAUCAGCCUCACUGGGACUGAGACACGGCCCAGAUUCCUACGGGAGGCAGCAGUGGGGAAUAUUGGACAAUGGGCGCAAGCCUGAAUCCAGCCAUGCCGCGUGGGUGAUGAAGGCCUUAGGGUUGUAAAGCCCUUUCGGCGGGGAAGAUAAUGACGGUACCCGCAGAAGAAGCCCCGGCUAACUUCGUGCCAGCAGCAGC